GAGUUUGAUCCUGGCUCAGAACGAACGCUGGCGGCAUGCCUAAUACAUGCAAGUCGAACGAGAUCUUCGGAUCUAGUGGCGCACGGGUGCGUAACGCGUGGGAAUCUGCCCUUGGGUUCGGAAUAACAGUUAGAAAUGACUGCUAAUACCGGAUGAUGACGUAAGUCCAAAGAUUUAUCGCCCAGGGAUGAGCCCGCGUAGGAUUAGCUAGUUGGUGAGGUAAAGGCUCACCAAGGCGACGAUCCUUAGCUGGUCUGAGAGGAUGAUCAGCCACACUGGGACUGAGACACGGCCCAGACUCCUACGGGAGGCAGCAGUAGGGAAUAUUGGACAAUGGGCGAAAGCCUGAUCCAGCAAUGCCGCGUGAGCGAUGAAGGCCUUAGGGUUGUAAAGCUCUUUUACCCGGGAUGAUAAUGACAGUACCGGGAGAAUAAGCCCCGGCUAACUCCGUG
rnacentral:rRNA from 1 species